UAUCUCUCUGUACAGGGAAGGAUGAGAAUCUUCGAUUAAGGUUCGACUCGAGCGGAAGCGAGAGAACGUUGCCAACGGCAACGGCCCGAAGGGGGAGGAGCGG
rnacentral:sRNA from 1 species